CCUUCCAAAUUUUAGCCACUACCCAGAGUUUUCCAGGACCCACUUUCUCCAUUCCCCUUCUGUGGGUUUUGUGUCCCCACCCAGAUCUCUUCUUGAAUUGUAAUUCCCAUAAUCCCCACAUGUUGAGGGAGGGACUAGGUGGAGGUGACUGGAUCCUGGGGACAGUUUCUCCCAGGCUGUUUUGAUGAUAGUGAAUUCUCAUAUGGUCUGAUGGUUUUAUAAGGCAAUUCUCCCUGCUCUUGCUAGCUGUCUCUUGUUGACAUGUAAAGAAGAUCUUUGCUUCCACUUCAGCUUCUGCCAUGAUUGCUUCCUGGGACCUCCUCAGCCCUGUGGAACUGUCAGGUACAGUGGUUCUCGCCUGUAAUCAAAGCACUUUGGAAGGUCAAGGCAGGUGGAUCACCUAAGAUUGCGAGUUCCAGACCAGCCUAAACAACAUGGAGCAACCCAUCUCUACUAAAAAUACAAAGUUAGUCGGGCAUGGUGGCGCAUGCCUGUAAUCCCAGCUACUCAGGAGGCUGAGGCAGGAGAAUCGCUUAAACCCAGGAGGCAGAGGUUGUGGUGAGCUGGCAUCUGUCAUU
rnacentral:lncRNA from 1 species